rnacentral:rRNA from 1 species
ACUCAAAUGAAUUGACGGGGGCCCGCACAAGCGGUGGAGCAUGUGGUUCAAUUCGAUGCAGAGCGAAGAACCUUACCUGGGCUUGACAUGGAGGAAGUAGGAGGUGGAAACACCAACGACCUGUUAAGUCAGGAGCCUUCACAGGUGGUGCAUGGCUGUCGUCAGCUCGUGCCGUGAGGUGUUGGGUUAAGUCCCGCAACGAGCGCAACCCUCACCCGAUGUUGCCAACAGUACGGCUGGGGACUCUUCGGGAACUGCCGGCGAAGAGCUGGAGGAAGGGGGGGAUGACGUCAAGUCCGUAUGCCCCUUAUGCCCAGGGCUACACACAUGCUACAAUGGGUGGUACAGAGGGUGCCCAACUCGCGAGGGGGAGGCAAUCCCAGAAAGCCACUCACAGUUCGGAUUGGAGGCUGCAACUCGCCUCCAUGAAGUCGGAAUCGCUAGUAAGCGCAGAUCAGCAGGCUGCGCUGAAUACGUUCCCGGGCCUUGUACACACCGCCCGU